rnacentral:tRNA from 1 species
GAGGGUAUAACUCAGUGGUAGAGUGUGUACCUAGCAUGCAUCAAGGUCCUGGGUUCAAUCCCCAGUACUGCCA